UUUUUAAACAUAUAGAUACAUAUAUAUUGAUACACACACACAAUAUAAUUGGAAGGUAAUCUCAGAGGGAAGCCAUUAGCAGGAAGUCGGAAGCAGGGGCCUCCAGAGAGACCUACAGAACUGGGGAUUUGAGGGGCAGAGUCCUUCUCUUUAGCCUUAUCUAGUCAUGAAUUCCAGAGCCAUAGGAGCUUAGUAAGGGAAGGCAGUGAGACGGAGAACGGGAGGGAGAUGGGAAACAUCCCUCCCCUUUUGAACUUUAGAGUCUCACCCCAGCACCCAGGACCACACUCAGUGUCAUUGUCAGCGGUCCUGGCUCACACUGGGAAGUUCUGCGCUCUAGUCAACUGGGAAAUAGAUUUUGAUGUUUAAAAAAAAAAAGGAAAGGUUUCAUGAUAAAAAAGGCAUUCAUUCUCCCCAGCCGGCGGGAGGCUCUGGCCGUCCUGCUCCUGUCACCCCUGAGGAUUCUUCCAGCGCCAUCUCCAUCAGCUCGAGCAUCAGCUCAGCCAAGUUGGGACUCUUGGCACGGCCCCCGUGUAGAGCCCAGCCAAAGAAUUCCAUGCUGUGCACAUCUGCAGCGCGGAACGCGGGCCUUUCGGAGGGAGAUUUAUUGCUUUUGCUUCUUCCCCUCCUCCUCGUCGAAGGUUUCUGGAUGCUGUUCCUUGUGUACAGCAUGCGCCUCGGGCUUAUCGGGGACGGUUAGAAUUAACUUUGGCAACAUUAAUCACCAGAGUUCUGAUGGUACCAGUUAGUAACCCAGAUGGUCCUAACUACGUAAAGGGAUCCAUUAAAUGCCCCACUAUGCUGGCUUGCUGCUGAUGCAAAGAGGAAAAGGACCAUCUGCCCUCAAGAAGCAGAUUCUGUCUAUUGUAGAAGAAAGAGGCAUCUAUACGACAGUAUUUGUGUUGGUGUCCUGGAUGCAGAUGUAGACACAUCUAGGUGCACACAUACACAUUAGCAAUAAAAUAUCUUUAAUGCUAGAAACUGUAAUUUGU
rnacentral:lncRNA from 1 species